rnacentral:rRNA from 1 species
AAUUAAUUAUUUACUGCAAAGAAAUUUAAUUUAUGAAAUAUUAUAUACCUUUUGCAUAAUGGUUUAAUUAUAAUUUAUAAAAUUAUUUUUCCCGAAGUUAGAAGAUCUAAUUUUAUUAUAUUAUUUAGCUACUAAUAUAUAAUGUUUCAAAAUUAUACUAAUAAAUAAAAUUAGGGGUGAAAGGCUUAUCAAUUCUAAAGAUAUCUGGAAUAAUUUUAAAUGUAUUUAGUACAAAAUGAAAUUUGAGUAAAAAAAUGUUAAGAUUUUUUUAUGUUAGUAUAAUAAGUAAUUUUUAAUAUGAAUUAAUCUUCCAAUAUCUAAAAUAACAAAAAAAUUUUUUAUUUAAACAUCUAAACAAUAAAAUUAAAUCCUAUUAAUUUAAAUAAGAAUAAACUCUGUUAAAAUUAGUAUAAUAGUUUAUAUUUAAAUAAGGAACUCGGCUAAUUAUUUAUUCAUCUGUUUAUCAAAAACAUAGUCUUAUGGAUUAAUAUAAGAUGCAACCUGCCCAUUGAUGUAUUUUAACGGCCGCAGUACCUUGACUGUGCUAAGGUAGCAUAAUAAAUUGACUCUUAAUUGGGGCCUUGAAUGAAAGGAUUAAUGAAUAAUUUCUGUCUUAUAAAAUAAUUUAUUAUAAAUUACUUAAAAGGUGAAAAUUCCUUUAAUAUAUAUAUAAUAGACGAGAAGACCCCAGGAGUUUUUAAUUUUGUUGGGGCGACAGUAUAGCAUUAAACCUAUAUAUAAAUAAUUAAAUAAAACGAAUAAUUUUAAUUAAAAAUAAACUACCCUGGGGAUAACAGCACAAUUUAAUUUUAAGUUUGUGACCUCGAUGUUGGACUAGG